AUUGAACGCUGGCGGCAGGCCUAACACAUGCAAGUCGAACGGUAGCACAGAGAGCUUGCUCUCGGGUGACGAGUGGCGGACGGGUGAGUAAUGUCUGGGAAACUGCCUGAUGGAGGGGGAUAACUACUGGAAACGGUAGCUAAUACCGCAUAACGUCGCAAGACCAAAGAGGGGGACCUUCGGGCCUCUUGCCAUCAGAUGUGCCCAGAUGGGAUUAGCUAGUAGGUGGGGUAACGGCUCACCUAGGCAACGAUCCCUAGCUGGUCUGAGAGGAUGACCAGCCACACUGGAACUGAGACACGGUCCAGACUCCUACGGGAGGCAGCAGUGGGGAAUAUUGCACAAUGGGCGCAAGCCUGAUGCAGCCAUGCCGCGUGUAUGAAGAAGGCCUUCGGGUUGUAAAGUACUUUCAGCGGGGAGGAAGGCGAUACGGUUAAUAACCGUGUUGAUUGACGUUACCCGCAGAAGAAGCACCGGCUAACUCCGUGCCAGCAGCCGCGGUAA
rnacentral:rRNA from 1 species